CCCGCCCCGCCAUGCAGGUGCUGGCCCACACGCAGCUGCAGCGGCCGGUGCCACCGCCAACCUGCGGGACCCCGGCUCGCCCUAGAAACGCCGGACCGCAGGGAGCACUGCGGAGGGGGCCGGUCCGCGAAAUGGGUUUCUUUUGUGCUGUUGCAAACAGCUCAACAGUUUUUAAGGAGGAAAAGCCGCGUUUGGGUAAAUUCCCCGCCGGCGGGCCCGGCUGCACGGCCCCGUUGCCACGGUGACGACCCCCCGCCCCCUCCGGGGCGUCUUCACCAUGGCAAUCGCUCGUGGGCGGAUGGGCGGGAGGAUGGGCCAAUCAGAGCGCGGGCGCUGCGCUCCCUUUGGUCGGAUCGCCUCGCCGGUGGGGAUUGACGGCGGCGACGGGCCAAUGGAGCGGGGCCGCCCGAGGAAGGGGGGAGAGCGAAGACCAAUAGGCGUGCGCCAUGGGCGGGCUGGGCCCGCUCGAAACCGGAGCGGGGCGGUCCGGGGGGAAAGCUGGGCUCAGCGGACGGGGCCGGGCCCGGCCCGCGCGGCCGCCGCGAGCACGUCGUGAGGCAGCUGGGUCGCGUCAAGGGUCACCUUCUGCGGCACGGCAAGAAAAUCCUGCACGGCUCAUUCUGCUUGCGGCUCAGGUUUCAUUUGGAUAAUUUUAGAAGAGCAAUUAAGUGACGUGCCUGUGUAAAAGUGCUGGCAAUACCGGGAAGAACGUCAACUGCCAGCGUUUCUUCUGCGGUCGCCCUUUCUUCUGCCACGACAGUACGGGACAGAUGGAAAGGAUCCGGAGUGCUCUGUGAGUAUGUGCAAUCCAGGUCAAAGAAGAGACAUGGACAAAACAGGACAAAUCAGCGUCGCUUCUGCAUGUUUUCCAGGCUUUGACACGAAGCAUCAGCAGCCUCGUAACUGCUGACGGCGAGUCCUGAUGUGGUUUUGGUGAGUUGUGGCUUCCAAUAACGUCCUUUGUCUGUAACCUGCAGCGUGUCAUUUUGGCUUUGCUUGGAAAGAGAUUUUUCCAAAAUGGGACUGUUGUUCAUUCAAAGCGGUUGCAUUUUAUGGAAUUCCCAUCAGCAACAAGCCUUUGUGCUCCCUUCUAAAAAAGGAAAAGAAAAAAAAUUUCCUUCCAAAGGCCCAAGCACAGCACAUUUUCCAACAGUUUGGUGGCAUCGCCGGUCUUUGGGUUCUCGGUUGUAACAGUCGAGAUACCAUAAAAACACAUUCCUCUGCAUGUUCAACACAGACAAAAGCAUUAGCCAAUCUGCCGGUCUUUUUUGGUAGCCUGAUGGAUUGCAGCGCCGGGGAUUUGAUUUCCCCCCCCCCCUCCCCGCCCCCUAAAACCAUAUGGGGGAUCUUUUAUCUCACUGGGUUUUCUGUGCUAAAUGGAACUUUGAAAACCAAAAAAGUUAAAAUUGUAUGAUUUGCAAACUGACUUGCAUGGUUUAAACUGCAACUGCCUGUAGAGCUGUAGCAUACAAUUUAGGAGGUGUCCUUAAGCAGAUAGGUAUUUGUUCUAACGCUUUAAAAAGAGAGGCAACUGAAUAUAACGUUUGUUUUUUUUUUUCCUGCUAUUUAGACGGCGUGCUCUGAAGCACUUUAUUUCUGUCUGGCUUUCAGUGGCCUGUUUCCUCAGCAGUCCCGUAGCAUCUCUCCUGGGCAGUGCAGCUGGCCAGACGUCCCUCCUCCUUGUGUAGCACACAAAAAUCCUAUAGUCAAAUUAUAGCUAUGUAUUUUGGAGAGAGAUAAUGUAAUGGUAUGAAUUCAUAGCUGUGCGAGCUAAGUUAGUGCCAGAGGAAAGUCAAAUACUUCUACAGUAUAAGUAUUUUUAAUGAGUGUAUGUAAAUGUAGGCACACCUUUUCAGCAUAACAUGAAUGACCGAGCUUUGUUCUUUAUUGUUCCUUCUGCUGUUCACAGUUUACCCUUCCUUCUCGGCUGCAUUGACCCAGCGAGCGAGGUGGGCAGCGGCAGCGUGAGGGCUGUACCUGCGGCGGUGGGUCUGUCAGCAUCGAUUGUGGUGUUACAGCGCAGCCUGCUCCUGCCACCCCGCUGGGUGAUCUCCCUGCAGCCGCGCUGGGAGGAAGGGGCCAGGCGUUUCCCAGCGCCGGCCAGAGUGUUCGCCCUUACGCUGAGAACGUAAUGGCACCCUGGCUUUUGCAGGCUGUGCUGUGUUUGGAGCUGAGCUGCUUCCCCAGAAUCCUCCUGUAGCUCAGCGACUGUCCUGUCCCUCGGUCUGACGGAAUUCCUCUACUCCCUUCCGGGCUAUUUUUUAAGAUGCUGAGCUAUAACUGGGGAUUUUGUUUUCCAGGUGCCUCGUCGUAGGCGUCUCGUGCUGCUUGAGAGACGCCCCAGCCCAGGUUUGCAGCCGGUGGCAGAGCCUCCCUGAGGGGAAGGGGCCAGCCCUGGGUCUGGGCGUUUUGGGCAUUUUUUUGGAGUGAAUAGAAGGACGUCUGUGUGUCUCAGGGUUGUGAUGAUGUCAUUUGGGGUACCUCGAUGUCAUUGGGGCAGCGAUGAUGCGGCAGAGGAGCAGGUGAGUGGGGGAUGUGGGGUUACGUGAGGGUCUCCCAAAAGAGGUGGUUCACAGCCCCAAAACGUCUGAAAAUCUUGGGAUGCAUUAAAAAAAUGUGAAAACCUGUAACUAUGGGCGUGAGGCACUGAAAUAGAGAACAGUCUCUCAUUUAUAUAUGAUAAAUAUAUACAUUGAGAAAUAAUAGUAUGUAUGUAAAAUAAGUUCAAAAUAAAAACCUCUAUGUCUAAGGA